UGGGGUUAUAGCUCAGCUGGGAGAGCGCUUGAAUGGCAUUCAAGAGGUCGGCGGUUCGAUCCCGCUUAACUCCACCAU
rnacentral:tRNA from 2 species